UUCAGAGGUCUACAGUCCAGUUCUUGGUGAUCAGCAACUGAGACAUUGCUGAAAAGCACUGUAAGAACACAUAAAACCAUCUGCACGUAGGUGAAAGGCUGAAGGUUCCUGUGUCUGUGUGAGGAGGUCUGAUUGUCUGAUGUCUGCUCUGAGCACAAU